rnacentral:rRNA from 1 species
AGAGUUUGAUUAUGGCUCAGGAUGAACGCUAGCGGCAGGCUUAACACAUGCAAGUCGAGGGGCAGCGGGAUGUAGCAAUACAUUGCCGGCGACCGGCGGAUGGGUGCGUAACGCGUAUGCAACCUACCUUAUACAGGGGAAUAACCUUUCGAAAGGGAGACUAACACCCCAUAGUAUUGAUUUAAGGCAUCUUAGAUUAAUUAAAUAUUUAUAGGUAUAAGAUGGGCAUGCGUAUGAUUAGCUAGUUGGUAAGGUAACGGCUUACCAAGGCGACGAUCAUUAGGGGUUCUGAGAGGAAGGUCCCCCACACUGGUACUGAGACACGGACCAGACUCCUACGGGAGGCAGCAGUGAGGAAUAUUGGUCAAUGGGCGCAAGCCUGAACCAGCCAUGCCGCGUGCAGGAAAGACGGCCUUAUGGGUUGUAAACUGCUUUUACAUAAGACUAACCGUAUAUUUGCGAAUAUACCUGAAUGUAUUAUGAGAAUAAGGAUCGGCUAACUCCGUGCCAGCCGCUGC